AUUGAACGCUGGCGGCAGGCCUAACACAUGCAAGUCGAACGAGUGGCGGACGGGUGAGUAAUGUCUGGGAAACUGCCUGAUGGAGGGGGAUAACUACUGGAAACGGUAGCUAAUACCGCAUACCAUCAGAUGUGCCCAGAUGGGAUUAGCUAGUUGGUGGGGUAACGGAUCACCAAGGCGAAGAGCCCUAGCUGGGCUAAGAGUCUGACCAGCCACACUGGAACUGAGUCACUGUCCAGACUCCUACGGAAGACAGCAGUGGGGAAUAGUGCAAAAUGGGCGCAAGCCUGAUGCAGCCAUGCCGCGUGUAUGAAGAAGGCCUUCGGGUUGUAAAGUACUUUCAGCGGGGAGGCGUUACCCGCAGAAGAAGCACCGGCUAACUCCGUGCCAGCAGCCGCGGUAAUAC
rnacentral:rRNA from 1 species